rnacentral:rRNA from 1 species
UGAUCCUGACUCAUGUUGAGGGCUGGGACCGUGCUUGACACAUGGCAGUAUAACGGACUUUACAUGAAACCUAGUGAUUGUAAAGUUAGUGGCGGACGGGUGAGUAACACGUGGGUAACAUGCCUUGUACAUGGGGACAACACUUGGAAACGACUGCGAAUACCGCAUAAGCGCACGGAGCUGCAUGGCUCAGUGUGAAAAACUUGAGUGGUACUAGAUGGACCCGCGGUGCAUUAGCUAGUUGGUAAGGUAACGGCCCGACCAAGGCGACGAUGCAUAGCCGAGUUGAGAGACUGAUCGGCCACAUUGGGACUGAGACACGGCCCAAACUCCUACGGGAGGCAGCAGUAGGGAAUCUUCCACAAUGGACGCAAGUCUGAUGGAGCAACGCCGCGUGAGUGAAGAAGGUUUUCGGAUCGUAAAGCUCUGUUGUUGGUGAAGAAGGAUAGAGGUAGUAACUGGCCUUUAUUUGACGGUAAUCAACCAGAAAGUCACGGCUAACUACGUGCCAGCAGCCGCGGUAAUACGUAGGUGGCAAGCGUUGUCCGGAUUUAUUGGGCGUAAAGCGAGCGCAGGCGGAAAAAUAAGUCUAAUGUGAAAGCCCUCGGCUUAACCGAGGAACUGCAUCGGAAACUGUUUUUCUUGAGUGCAGAAGAGGAGAGUGGAACUCCAUGUGUAGCGGUGGAAUGCGUAGAUAUAUGGAAGAACACCAGUGGCGAAGGCGGCUCUCUGGUCUGCAACUGACGCUGAGGCUCGAAAGCAUGGGUAGCGAACAGGAAAAGAUACCCUGGUAGUCCAUGCCGUAAACG